rnacentral:lncRNA from 15 species
AUGGGUGUGUAUUGCGAGAACCUCCAACUGAAAAAAACCGCCAGAGUGCGUGACAUCAUCGCUAGAGUGUGGGGAGAGAGAAAAAUUUGUCCAAAAAAUGAAUGGGUGUGUAUUGCGAGAACCUCCAACCGAAAAAAACUGCCAGAGUGCGUGACAUCAUCGCUAGAGUGUGGGGAGAGAGAAAAAUUUGUCGAAAAAUAAAUUUGUAAACUGCUGUCAUGGCCACAAAUUUCACUGUACAGAAAUAAUUUAUAGAUAGAAACGUAGGUAAAUUCGUUGGGGUCGCAGUGAUACUACUGCUGAAGCUGUCAGACAAAUAGUUUUGGCGGGAGACGCACUGAUGCGCCAGCAACUCCCUCUCAUGGCCCCAUCUACUCCCAUGUUAAAAUGGAGAGGAGGAUUCUUGAAAAACGCUCGUUGAACCUCUUCUCUCUCAAUCUCCCCAGGUCACAUUUUUUAACUUUAACCACUGAAACUCGGCAGUGCUAUAGUCAACAAGAUGACAACGCCCACGGUCUUUUCGGUUUUCAUUUCGGUCGUUCCUGGCCAUGCUUUUGAGGGGAUUCAUUUUAAAUGUUUUCUGUCUCUCUGAGGAGUUAGAGACAGAGAGAGAGCGUGCGCAGCUGCUGUGGGCUCCCCUGAUUGCCAUGACAACCAAAGCCUGCUCACACACACACACACACACACACAGCUAGCUACAGAGAAUGACAAGACAUUAAUAAGCUAGCGCUAGCUGGCUAGCUAAAGAUAAUUAGCAGGUGGCUAACAAACAAACAAUUUAAAGCUGAAUGAUUUUAAUAUUAACACAAAAUAAGAACAAUACACCUUAAAUAUUUUACCCUACUAUGAGCUGUUCCUUAAUUUACAUUAGCACUCCUUCAGGAGCAUAAUACAAUUAAACACAUUAAGCUAGCACUUAGCUAGCGAUUAGCGGUUAGCUAGCGAUUAGCAUGUAGCUAGCGAUUAGCGCUUAGCUAGCGAUUAGCAUGUAGCUAGCGAUUAGCGGUUAGCUAGCGAUUAGCGGUUAGCUAGCGAUUAGCACGUAGCUAAGCGCUAGCUUUGGUUUAUGUGUUUAUGUGUGCUAGCUCUAGCUAGCUAACUAAAGAGAAUGACAUGAUAUUAAUAUGCUAGCGCUAGCUAAGGAGGAUGACAGGUUAUCAAUAUGCUAUAGGGAGGAUUACAUGGCAUUAAUAAUCUAGCGCUAGCUGGCUAGCUAAAGAUAAUUAGCAGGCGGCUAACAAGCAAACAAUUUAAGGCUGAAUGAUUUUAAUAUUAACACAAAAUAAGUUUAAUACACCUUAAAUAUUUUACCCUACUAUGAGCUGUUCCUUAAUUUACAUUAGCACUCCUUCAGGAGCAUUAUACAAUUAAACACAUUAACCAAAGCUAGCACUUAGCUAGCGAUUAGCGAGAUUAGCACGUAGCUAGCGAUUAGCGCUUAGCUAGCGCUUAGCACGUAGCUAAGCGCUACCUUUGGUUAAUGUGUUUAUGUGUGCUAGCUCUAGCUAAAGAGAAUUACAUGGUAUUAAUAUGCUAGCGCUAGCGUGCUAGAGAGCAAGACAUGGCUAGACAUGGUAUUAACAUAUGGGCCAGAGCAAGGCACAAUCAAAAUUGCUUUAGGAAUUUUCUAGUUAUAAUAUUUUAUUCUUCCGUACGCUUUUUCGGCGCGCUUCUUCUCCCAGAGCUUUGAUCGCACGUACACAAAAAAGGUAUCAGAACGUGCGGCUCGUUGAGGACAUUAGUGCUAUGACUUUUCUAAGAAUUUCGCCAAACGGUUUGCCGAUAAAUCGCCAAAAACCGGUCCAAAAAAUGAAUGGGUGUGUAUUGCGAGAACCUCCAACUGAAAAAAACUGCCAGAGUGCGUGACAUCAUCGCUAGAGUGUGGGGAGAGAGAAAAAUUUGUCGAAAAAUAAAUUUGUAAACUGCUGUCAUGGCCACAAAUUUCACUCUACCGAAAUAAUUUAUAGAUAGAAACGUAGGUAAAUCCGUUGGGGUCGCAGUGAUACUACUGCUGAAGCUGUCAGACAAAUAGUUUUGGCGGGAGACGCACUGAUGCGCCAGCAACACCCUCUCACGGCCCCAUCUACUCCCAUGUUAAUUUUAGAGGACAAAUCUUGAAAAACGCUUGUUGAACCUCUUCUCUCUCAAUCUCCCCAGGUCACAUUUUUUAACUUUAACCACUGAAACUCG